CGUAGAGUUUUGAUCCUCGGCGUCAGGAUGAACGCUAGCGGCAGGCUAACACAUGCAAUCGAGGGGCAGCGGUAAGUAGCUUGCUACUUAUGCCGGCGACCGGCGGACGGGUGCGUAACGCGUAUGUAACUACCUUUGACAGGGGGAUAACAUCGAGAAAUUGGUACUAAUACCCCAUAACAUCACCGGAGGCAUCUUCGGUGGUUGAAAACUCAGGUGGUCAGAGAUGGACAUGCGUUGUAUUAGCUAGUUGGUGAGGUAACGGCUCACCAAGGCGACGAUACAUAGGGGGACUGAGAGGUCAACCCCCCACAUUGGUACUGAGACACGGACCAAACUCCUACGGGAGGCAGCAGUGAGGAAUAUUGGUCAAUGGGCGCAAGUCUGAACCAGCCAUGCCGCGUGCAGGAAGACGGCUCUAUGAGUUGUAAACUGCUUUUGUACGAGGGUAAAUCCCGAUACGUGUAUCGGGUUGAAAGUAUCGUACGAAUAAGGAUCGGCUAACUCCGUG
rnacentral:rRNA from 1 species